GGGAAAGAUGAUCUGCUAUUGAAACCAAAACAUAAGUUGGAGAAAUGCCAGAAGGAAAAAGAAGACCUUCACUCUCAGGUGUUGAGAUGCAAAAAAGAAAAAGAAGUGGCAUCUAAUGUCGAAGCACUGUUGACAGAGCUGCCAGACUUGCUACAACAAGUUUGAGAGCUAAAAGCAAAGUCAUCUUGUGAAUGUACUCAUGGAGAAAAUGAGGAAAAGAAAGGGGUAUCAAAAAAGAACGAGUCCUCUUUUUGAAUCUCAAAAUACGCUCAGUCAUCCAAAAAUCCUCAGAAGGUGUUGCAGGAUUUAAUAACUUUCAGCCGAAGUGAAAUGGCAAGUCUCUCAAUAAGUGGAGACACAACUAAUGCCACCAUUGAUGUUGCUCCAAAG